UUUUUCAAGAAAUCUAUUUCAGUAGAGCGUAUGAUGUCGAUAGCCCGAGGUAGAGCACUCAAUGGCUAAGAUGGCGUCAUUCACCUGCCAACCGCAAGGAAAUUCUUAAUACAGUCCUCGAUCAUUUGUAUAGACAGACCUUUUGGGUGCUAAGAUCCAAAGUCAAGAGGAGAACAUCCCAGAUCGUAUGCUAAGGUCCCUAAGCAAUCACUUAGUGGAAAAGGAAGUGAUCGAGAGAUGACAACCAGGAGGUGGGCUUGGAAGUAGCCAUCCUUUGAAGAAAGCAUAAUAGCUCACUAGUCUAGCUCCAUAGCACUUAAAAUGUCUUGGGGCUUAAGUGAUUCACCAAAGCGACGAGACCUUGAAAGCUUCUUUUUCAAGUGUCAGUAGUAAGAAGGUUCUGUCAAUCGGGAAGGAUUUUGGUGACAAGAACUUGAGACAACACAAGUG
rnacentral:ncRNA from 1 species